AAUCGAGGGCAAGUUGUCUUCAAAAAUCACAGUCGGUUUCCGCAGCGUCAGUCCCAUACUUGUCAGAAGGUUUCGUAGCCACACGGCCUCGACGUCACCCGCCCAGUCUGAGUCGGAAUAUCCGACAAGAGUGGCAUCACCCAUCUUGGAAUAUCGAAUUCCAUAAUUCAACGUGCCUUUCAAGUAUCUUAAAACUCAUUUGGCGGCAAUCCAGUGACUUUUGUUGGGAUGGGCCGAGAAUUUGGCAACAUUGGCGACGGCAAACGCCAUAUCCGGUCUUGUUCGCAACGAAAGGAUCACAAGGCGAGUCAAGCUCGUUGCACUCGAUCAUGCCAAACUUUUCAAGGAGUUCUUUUCCAUAGACUGGCUGUCCAACCCAUAUCACUCCCAACGCAGAAUUCUGAUGUACAUUGAUUCCAAGGAAAUAUUUCAUCCUUCCUAGGUCUUUGGCGUGAAAGCGUUCAGCUAACAAUUGCUUGAUAUAAGCAAUGCACUCACCAUCACUCGAGAUCAACACAAUAUCAUCAACGUACACGGCCAGAUUAUUCCAGCAUCUUGGCGACUGUUUUAAGCCAUAUAAGGCUUUGGUGAGUUUGCACACUCGGUCAUCGUCAUGGAUUUUGUGAAACAUUUCCGGGCGUUCAAUAUAAAUAUCUU